rnacentral:rRNA from 1 species
AUACGUAGGUGGCGAGCGUUGUCCGGAAUCACUGGGCGUAAAGGGCGCGUAGGCGGUCACUUUAGUCAGGUGUGUAAACUGUCGGCUUAACCGGGAGAUUGCACCUGAUACUGGAUGACUUGAGUGCAGGAGAGGACAGUGGAAUUCCUAGUGUAGCGGUGAAAUGCGUAGAUAUUAGGAGGAACACCAGUGGCGAAGGCGGCUGUCUGGACUGUAACUGACGCUGAGGCGCGAAAGCGUGGGGAGC